CAUUCUGAUCGUCUCCCUGCACAGUGUCUGUGGUGGUGACAACUGAUUCAUGUGUUCAUUUGCAUAUCCCCCGGUGCCAGCAGCAGAAUACAGAACGGGCCUCCUGUGCCGGCAGCCAACACAGCACUGGCAAAUCAGGGAGCUGUCAGAAACAGCUGUCCAUUAACGGAGUUUGUGGAAACAACCAGGAGCUGUUUGAAAAUGCUAGGUGGUAGAAUUUAAUUGGAGUAGCAACUGUUCAAAAUUAAGAUUAAAAGGACCAGUCAGUCAACGUGGAUUUCGUGACACCUUAAAAAUAACGUUUCAGGUUUGAUUAAUGCUGCAAGAAGUUUGCACAUUUCUCUCCUUUGCUGAUAGGGCCUGCGUGCUGAUAGUUGAUUCAGUGAAUAUAUGUAGCAGUGAUAGCUCAUGGGCUCCAGAGGUCAGAUAUCUUAUUCUCUAGGCUGAAACCCUUGUUGCUUUAAGGAAACAGGAUUUUAAUAGGAAUCACAUGCAGAUUGACUACAGGGAGCCAAGCGGUAGUGGAAGAAGCAAAGUUGGCGGUUUUGGAGACGGACGUCUAUCUAUCCACAGUGGGACAAAAAUGAAGGUUAUUGAAAAGAAUCAUGCUUGGUGGAAGAAGUAAUUACAUUUUUUUUUCAAAUCUCAGAGGAAUAAUGCUUUUAUAUUUCCUGCGAUGACCCAAUUUGCACUACGAUAUGCUCCCUUAAAUGUGAUUUAAACAGAAGAGAGGACCACCCCGCCAACCAAAUGUCCAGGUCCUAUUCCAUGGAACCUAUGAACAGGUUGUCCCACAUUGCAAAAGGGACUUCACAGAUGUCGGUAAGUUAAGGCCAUUGAGACGAAUGAUUCUGGAUUGUCUGUUGGGCCCAAUGUGAUCAAAAGUUUCCCUAGAAGAGCUAGAGAAGAUGCGAUAAUGGAAGCGGAAUCAAAGACAGAUUUGAAGAUGCUGCUGUCUUUGGAGAGAAUGGCCAGGAGGCAAGGAACACAAGCAGCCCCUAGAAGUUGGAAAAGGAGUCAUUUCAGGAACAAAUCUGCCCAUGCUGAGGCCACUGGAACUCAUGUGACUUUUUAAAGCAAGAGUCAGAAUGUGCCCUUGGACAACCUACUUUGAGAUGACCUCUACAAAUAUCACAGGCAUGAAUUGCUCUCAUCCUGCUUCCAAGGGAGGAAAAGCAGUAAGGACUGUUCAUUGGCGUCAUUGUGUCCACCUCCAUAUGACUCGCAUACCUGCUCCACUGCUCUGGUUCAAGACAAUUAAUCCUAAUAUCCAACCCCUCCUGUG
rnacentral:lncRNA from 1 species